rnacentral:misc_RNA from 1 species
UCCGAGUUGACCCCGGCAGUCUCCCACGAGUCCCCGCCAUUACGCGCUGGCAACAUAGGAUAAGGGUUGCGCUCGUUGCGGGACUUAACCCAACAUCUCACGACACGAGCUGACGACAGCCAUGCACCACCUGCACACAGGCCACAAGGGAACCGACAUCUCUGCCGGGAUCCUGUGCAUGUCAAACCCAGGUAAGGUGGGGAUGACGUCAAGGUACGGAC